UACGUAGGGUGCAAGCGUUGUCCGGAAUUAUUGGGCGUAAAGAGCUCGUAGGCGGUUCGUCGCGUCGGCUGUGAAAUCCCGGAGCUCAACUCCGGGUCUGCAGUCGAUACGGGCGGACUUGAGUUCGGCAGGGGAGACUGGAAUUCCUGGUGUAGCGGUGAAAUGCGCAGAUAUCAGGAGGAACACCGGUGGCGAAGGCGGCACUCUGGGCCGGUACUGACGCUGAGGAGCGAAAGCGUGGGGAGCGAACCGG
rnacentral:rRNA from 1 species